rnacentral:rRNA from 1 species
AAUGAACGCUGGCGGCAUGCCUAACACAUGCAAGUCGAACGAGAGCUCCGGGUCUAGUGGCGCACGGGUGCGUAACGCGUGGGAACCUGCCCUUAGGUUCGGAAUAACUCCCCGACAGGGGUGCUAAUACCGGAUAAUGUCUUCGGACCAAAGAUUUAUCGCACUGGGAUGGGCCUGCGUUGGAUUAGCUAGUUGGUAGGGUAAAAGCCUACCAAGGCCAAGAUCCAUAGCUGGGCUGAGAGGAUGUUAGCCAAACUGGGACUGAGACACGGCCCAGACUCCUACGGGAGGCAGCAGUGGGGAAUAUUGGACAAUGGGCGGAAGCCUGAUCCAGCAAUGCCGCGUGAGUGAUGAAGGCCUUAGGGUUGUAAAGCUCUUUUACCCGGGAUGAUAAUGACAGUACCGGGAGAAUAAGCUCCGGCUAACUCCGUG